GCUCGGACAGCCCGCGAAGCUCAGCGAGCCCCACCAGCCCGAAAAAAGGGCCUGAAAUGGCGUGGCUCGAAAGUGCUGGAAAUGCCAUUCGGUCCUGGCAGCGUGGUACUGGCGGUGAUGAGGCUCGCUAGACACUGUCCUAAUGAAAAAUAAUUGUUCCUGCCACAGGCUGUUUGUAAUUUACACACAAAGGCUCCUUACAAGUCCAAUUAUCAUUUGGAACUGCAGGAGUUGGAAUUGCUCUACCUUGUGCCUCCAGGACACUUCUUGUUGUUUUCAACACGUUUUGCUCAGGUCUUCAGCAGCCAAACUUUACUUUGCCUGAACAGUACUGUGGACUUUUCAGACCUCUAGCCCAACUUGAGUGAGCACAUUUAAUGCCUGGCUGAAUCACCCACAUGAUGAGCACCCCAGUGUCCAGCAGGCACAGCCAGGAGCUGCGUGUUUCACUCUGGAAAAUAACUGGUGUCCUGGGAGAGAGGAGCACCCUCCCAUUUGUUUGCAAUGGCUGCUCAAACACUGUUGUGCUAGAAGCCUUCUGUUCUGCAGAACUAAGGAAUACCCUGAUCCUGGGCCAGCUCUUUCUGUGCAGCAAAGCCCAGUUUCAAUGGGCUUUCAGGGAUCGUUGAGCAGAUAACUCAGUGCUGAGAAUGUGAGAGCACUGUGUCCUGUUGGGGGUGGCAAGCAGUUUUGCAAGGGAGCCAUUUGUAUUUAAAAUUUUAGAUCUGCGUUGUAGAAGAUCAUUUUGGAUACCCAGGUUUAAAAGUUGGAACUUAAAUUUAGGUGUGGGUUAGUAACUGGACUUUGUCUCUUGUGGGAAAUGAAUUUCCAGGUUGGGAACUACUCGAACAAGGCAGUUUUCCCAUUUGUUAAAGAUAGCUAUUAAUUUUAAUUUGCAUAAAGAAUAUGGAUAUAUGAGUCCCCAAUUACUUUAAAAGCAAUGAGAUGAUGAAGUAAUUAGUUCCAUGAGGAAAUGAUAUUACAUAGUGGAAAGCUUAGUUUGCCAAGGAUCAAUUUGUUGACAUUUGAGUCCAACUAGAAAUGAAAUGUGUGGAACAAAAAGUAGAGUAUUUUAGUAAAAAGCCAUCUCAUCAAUUUGGAUACAAAUUAAAAGCAUCUCUGCUUCCCAGCCAGAGGGGCUAAUAACAGAUUUCUCUGCAGUAGAAGACUCACAAUGACAAUUUAAAAUAGAAGAAAAAUACAACAGUGUAUCAUUAAGGCAUAAGGAAUGAGCAUGUUUCUUUCUCUAUUCCAGAUGUGGAAUCAUUAUAGCACUUUCCCCCUAUGUAUAAAUGAGGAUACUACUACAUGUGCCACCUUUUAGAAUCAUAGAACAAUUUGGGUUGGAAGGGAUCUUAAAGAUCAUCUAGUUCCAACCCUGCUGCCAUGGGGUGGGGUGUGUGUGUUUGUGUGUGAUGUGCAUAAUGAGUGUUGUAUCUGUGAAACCUCUGAAAUCCUCAAAUAGGAAAUAAAAAAGGAAGGGAAAUAGCAUAGCUUUGGUUUACAUCUGGAUUUCCUUUGCAUGAUGGCUAUAGUGGUGUAUGUGGUCAUAUAAAUUCACUGCAUCAUCUCCACAACUAAAGCACAACAAAAUUUUGUUCCAAAAAUUUUCCUGUCUGAACAGGAGAUUAUAAUAAAUACAAAUCAAGUGAUAACAAUGAAAAAGGAGUAAACUACGAGGAAAUGAAAAAUACAGCUGUGAGAGGUAAAAAAGUAGUUGCUAUGAUAACACAUUUUGCUAGUUUGUUCAAGAAACAGAAGGGAAGGACAAGGUGCUUUUUACAGGCCAGAGGGUUUUCUUUCUGAGUAAAAGAUAGAUGUGAAGCUUGCAGAUAUAACAGGCAAAUGAAGGGUUACAUGAAUUAUCCAAAGUACAAUGACUUUUAGUUAUUCUUGAAAAUAAUAGCAGUUUUAAAAUCUUUUAAUUAACUUAAGCUUGGAUUUAAAGUAUAUAGGCCCCACAAAAUUUUACUUUUGCAUUAUUCAUAGAGUCAUAUAGCUACAAUAAAUUUACAAAAGGUAAUAUAUAAGAUCAUUCAUGUCAGUGUUGGAUAAACACUCAGCAAAAGGAUAGCAAGGGUUCACUUUGUCAUCUAGCGAUUGUGUAA